rnacentral:rRNA from 1 species
UACGGGGGGGGCAAGCGUUGUUCGGAAUUACUGUGCGUAAAGGGCUCGUAGGCGGCCAACUAAGUCAGACGUGAAAUCCCUCGGCUUAACCGGGGAACUGCAUCUGAUACUGGAUGGCUUGAGUUCGGGAGAGGGAUGCGGAAUUCCAGGUGUAGCGGUGAAAUGCGUAGAUAUCUGGAGGAACACCGGUGGCGAAGGCGGCAUCCUGGACCGGCACUGACGCUGAGGAGCGAAAGCCAGGGGAGCAAACGGG